UACGAAGGGUGCAAGCGUUACUCGGAAUUACUGGGCGUAAAGCGUGCGUAGGUGGUUCGUUAAGUCUGAUGUGAAAGCCCUGGGCUCAACCUGGGAAUGGCAUUGGAUACUGGCGAUCUAGAGUGCGGUAGAGGGCAGUGGAAUUCCCGGUGUAGCAGUGAAAUGCGUAGAGAUCGGGGAGGAACAUCUGUGGCGAAGGCGACUGCCUGGACCAGCACUGACACUGAGGGCACGAAAAGCGUGGGGGGAGCAAACAGG
rnacentral:rRNA from 1 species